UGCACUCCCUAUUGUAAGUUGCUCUGGAUAAGAGUGUCUGCAAAAUGAAUUAAA
rfam:Salmo salar isolate Sally breed double haploid chromosome ssa10, whole genome shotgun sequence.